rnacentral:rRNA from 1 species
AUUGAACGCUGGCGGCAUGCCUUACACAUGCAAGUCGAACGGUAACAGGUCUUCGGAUGCUGACGAGUGGCGAACGGGUGAGUAAUACAUCGGAACGUGCCUAGUAGUGGGGGAUAACUACUCGAAAGAGUGGCUAAUACCGCAUGAGAUCUACGGAUGAAAGCAGGGGAUCGCAAGACCUUGUGCUACUAGAGCGGCCGAUGGCAGAUUAGGUAGUUGGUGGGAUAAAAGCUUACCAAGCCGACGAUCUGUAGCUGGUCUGAGAGGACGAUCAGCAACACUGGGGCUGAGACACGGCCCAGACUCCUACGGGAGGCAGCAGUGGGGAAUUUUGGACAAUGGGCGAAAGCCUGAUCCAGCAAUGCCGUGUGCAGGAUGAAGGCCUUCGGGUUGUAAACUGCUUUUGUACGGAACGAAAAGCCCCGGGUUAAUACCCUGGGGUCAUGACGGUACCGUAAGAAUAAGCACCGGCUAACUACGUGCCAGCCGCCGCAGUAA